CUCCUAGUACGAGAGGACCGGAGUGGACGAACCUCUGGUGUUCGGGUUGUGUCGCCAGACGCAUUGCCCGGUAGCUAAGUUCGGAAUUGAUAAGCGCUGAAAGCAUCUAAGCGCGAAGCGAGCCCUGAGAUGAGUCUUCCCUGACAGUUUAACUGUCCUAAAGGGUUGUUCGAGACUAGAACGUUGAUAGGCAGGGUGUGUAAGCGUUGUGAGGCGUUGAGCUAACCUGUACUAAUUGCCCGUGAGGCUUAACCAUACAACACCCAAGGGGUUUUGUA
rnacentral:rRNA from 1 species